CUUUUUUACAUAACGCUGAACUAAAACUGCAUAAGUGGUGGAACAUUUCAAGAAACGCUUAGCGCAAUUGGGUGUGGCGAAAGCCUGCAAAGUGUAUAGGGUAACAAAAUUUAGCAUUGAACUGUUAGGAAUUGCGCUCCUAGCAGUUUUU
rnacentral:sRNA from 1 species